rnacentral:rRNA from 1 species
GAGUUUAAUCGUGGCUCAGAUUGAACGCUGGCGGCAGGCCUAACACAUGCAAGUCGAGCGGUAGAGAGAAGCUUGCUUCUCUUGAGAGCGGCGGACGGGUGAGUAAUGCCUAGGAAUCUGCCUGGUAGUGGGGGAUAACGUUCGGAAACGGACGCUAAUACCGCAUACGUCCUACGGGAGAAAGCAGGGGACCUUCGGGCCUUGCGCUAUCAGAUGAGCCUAGGUCGGAUUAGCUAGUUGGUGAGGUAAUGGCUCACCAAGGCGACGAUCCGUAACUGGUCUGAGAGGAUGAUCAGUCACACUGGAACUGAGACACGGUCCAGACUCCUACGGGAGGCAGCAGUGGGGAAUAUUGGACAAUGGGCGGAAAGCCUGAUCCAGCCAUGCCGCGUGUGUGAAGAAGGUCUUCGGAUUGUAAAGCACUUUAAGUUGGGAGGAAGGGUUGUAGAUUAAUACUCUGCAAUUUUGACGUUACCGACAGAAUAAGCACCGGCUAACUCUGUGCCAGCAC